rnacentral:rRNA from 1 species
AGUCGAACGGUAACAGGUUAAGCUGACGAGUGGCGAACGGGUGAGUAAUGUAUCGGAACGUGCCCAGUCGUGGGGGAUAACUGCUCGAAAGAGCAGCUAAUACCGCAUACGACCUGAGGGUGAAAGCGGGGGAUCGCAAGACCUCGCGCGAUUGGAGCGGCCGAUAUCAGAUUAGGUAGUUGGUGAGGUAAAGGCUCACCAAGCCGACGGUCUGUAGCUGGUCUGAGAGGACGACCAGCCACACUGGGACUGAGACACGGCCCAGACUCCUACGGGAGGCAGCAGUGGGGAAUUUUGGACAAUGGGCGCAAGCCUGAUCCAGCCAUGCCGCGUGCGGGAAGAAGGCCUUCGGGUUAUAAACCGCUUUUGUCAUGGAAGAAAAGGUUCUGGCUAAUACCUGGGAC